GACGAACGCUGGCGGCGUGCCUAAUACAUGCAAGUUGAGCGCUGAAGGUUGGUACUUGUACCGACUGGAUGAGCAGCGAACGGGUGAGUAACGCGUGGGGAAUCUGCCUUUGAGCGGGGACAACAUUUGGAAACGAAUGCUAAUACCGCAUAAAAACUUUAAACACAAGUUUUAAGUUUGAAAGAUGCUAUUGCAUCACUCAAAGAUGAUCCCGCGUUGUAUUAGCUAGUUGGUGAGGUAAAGGCUCACGAAGGCGAUGAUACAUAGCCGACCUGAGAGGGAGAUCGGCCACAUUGGGACUGAGACACGGCCCAAACUCCUACGGGAGGCAGCAGUAGGGAAUCUUCGGCAAUGGACGAAAGUCUGACCGAGCAACGCCGCGUGAGUGAAGAAGGUUUUCGGAUCGUAAAACUCUGUUGGUAGAGAAGAACGUUGGUGAGAGUGGAAAGCUCAUCAAGUGACGGUAACUACCCAGAAAGGGACGGCUAACUACGUGCCAGCAGCCGCCGUAA
rnacentral:rRNA from 1 species